rnacentral:rRNA from 1 species
GUCUAUGGCCAUGCCAUCCUGAACAAGCCCGAUCCUGUCUGAUCUUGGAAGCUAAGCAGGGUCAGGCCUGGUUAGUACUUGGAUGAGAGAUCACUUAGGAAGACCAGGUGCUGUAGGCA